GGUAUAGACCCGAAACCCGGUGAUCUAGCCAUGGGCAGGUUGAAGGUUGGGUAACACUAACUGGAGGACCGAACCGACUAAUGUUGAAAAAUUAGCGGAUGACCUGUGGCUGGGGGUGAAAGGCCAAUCAAACCGGGAGAUAGCUGGUUCUCCCCGAAAGCUAUUUAGGUAGCGCCUCGUGAAUUCAUCUCCGGGGGUAGAGCACUGUUUCGGCUAGGGGGCCAUCCCGGCUUACCAACCCGAUGCAAACUGCGAAUACCGGAGAAUGUUAUCACGGGAGACACACGGCGGGUGCUAACGUCCGUCGUGAAGAGGGAAACAACCCAGACCGCCAGCUAAGGUCCCAAAGUCAUGGUUAAGUGGGAAACGAUGUGGGAAGGCCCAGACAGCCAGGAUGUUGGCUUAGAAGCAGCCAUCAUUUAAAGAAAGCGUAAUAGCUCACUGGUCGAGUCGGCCUGCGCGGAAGAUGUAACGGGGCUAAACCAU
rnacentral:rRNA from 1 species